rnacentral:rRNA from 1 species
CUGCAGCUCGAGUGGUGAUCAUUAUUAUUGGGCCUAAAACGUCCGUAGCCGGUUUAGUAAAUGCCCGGGUAAAUCGUGUAGCUUAACUAUACGACUUCCGGGUAGACUGCUAAACUUGAGACCGGGAGAGGCUAGAGGUACUCCUGGGGUAGAGGUGAAAUUCUGUAAUCCUAGGGGGACCACCAGUGGCGAAGGCGUCUAGCUAGAACGGGUCUGACGGUGAGGGACGAAGCCCUGGGGCACAAACCGGAUUAGAUACCCGAGUAGUCC